UAGGCAUAGAGUAUAGCCAUAGCUGGUCACUACCGAGAGAACCAGCAAUGCAACUUCAAGAAUUGUCGACCCGAAGACAUCUCGCGAGAAUCGCAGUUCAUUCUU